rnacentral:rRNA from 1 species
UACGUAGGUGGCAAGCGUUGUCCGGAAUUAUUGGGCGUAAAGCGCGCGCAGGUGGUUCCUUAAGUCUGAUGUGAAAGCCCACGGCUCAACCGUGGAGGGUCAUUGGAAACUGGGGAACUUGAGUGCAGAAGAGGAUAGUGGAAUUCCAAGUGUAGCGGUGAAAUGCGUAGAGAUUUGGAGGAACACCAGUGGCGAAGGCGACUAUCUGGUCUGUAACUGACACAUGAGGAG